GGUAGUAGGAGUGGCAGUGGUGGUGGAAAUGGUGGUGCGUGGUGGGAGUGAGAGACGAUGGGGCCGGUGAUGGUGGUGGUGGUGGUUUUCAGCCAUUGUCGGAGAGUCCAACGGAAGAAUUUUCCAACGUUAAUGAUCAACAGUGUCGGAAUAUGGAAAGAUCAAGUCAUUGACUUCCAUUGGUUGGGCCAAACUCCGGAAUUGUUCUUGGACCAAUGGGUUAUUUUGUAAAAAUAGGGGGGAUGGCUAGAUUUGUAAAAAUAGUCAAUAUUUGAAAAGUAGUAGAACAACGUAAAAAUUGC
rnacentral:lncRNA from 1 species